UAGGGAAUAUUGGACAAUGGGUGCGAGCCUGAUCCAGCCAUGCCGCGUGCAGGAAGACGGCCUUCUGGGUUGUAAACUGCUUUUGCCAGGGGAUAAAACGUCCAUGCGUGGAUAAUUGAAGGUACCUGGUGAAUAAGCCACGGCUAACUACGUGCCAGCAGCCGCGGUAAUACGUAGGUGGCAAGCGUUGUCCGGAUUUAUUGGGUUUAAAGGGUGCGUAGGUGGUCUUGUAAGUCAGUGGUGAAAUACGGCAGCUUAACUGUCGAGGUGCCAUUGAUACUGCAAGACUUGAGUACAGACGAGGUAGGCGGAAUUGACGGUGUAGCGGUGAAAUGCUUAGAUAUCGUCAAGAACACCGAUAGCGAAGGCAGCUUACUAGACUGUAACUGACACUGAGGCACGAAAGUGUGGGGAUCAAACAGGAUUAGAUACCCUGGUAGUCCACACUGUAAACGAUGAUUACUCGAUGUUGGCGAUAC
rnacentral:rRNA from 1 species